ACGGGAGGCAGCAGUGAGGAAUAUUGGUCAAUGGGCGAGAGCCUGAACCAGCCAAGUAGCGUGCAGGAGGACGGCCCUAUGGGUUGUAAACUUCUUUUGUAAGGGGAUAAACCUAGAUAUGUAUAUCUAGCUGAAGGUACCUUACGAAUAAGCAUCGGCUAACUCCGUGCCAGCAGCCGCGGUAAUACGGAGGAUGCAGGCGUUGUCCGGAUUUAUUAGGUUUAAAGGGUGCGCAGGCGGGACACUAAGUCGGCGGUGAAAUCUCAUGGCCCAACCAUGAAACUGCCAUCGAUACUGGUGACCUUGAGUACGAAUGAGGAAGGCGGAAUGAGUCGUGUAGCGGUGAAAUGCUUAGAUAUGACUCAGAACACCAAUUGCGAAGGCAGCUUUCCAAAACGCAACUGACGCUCAUGCACGAAAGCGUGGGUAGCGAACAGGAUUAGAUACCCUGGUA
rnacentral:rRNA from 1 species